UCGGAGGGAAGUUCGUGGAACGAGCGGCGGACGGGUGAGUAACACGUAGGCAACCUGCCUGUAAGACUGGGAUAACUCGCGGAAACGCGAGCUAAUACCGGAUAACACUUUCUAUCACCUGAUGGAAAGUUGAAAGGCGGCUUUUGCUGUCACUUACAGAUGGGCCUGCGGCGCAUUAGCUAGUUGGUGAGGUAACGGCUCACCAAGGCGACGAUGCGUAGCCGACCUGAGAGGGUGAUCGGCCACACUGGGACUGAGACACGGCCCAGACUCCUACGGGAGGCAGCAGUAGGGAAUCUUCCGCAAUGGACGAAAGUCUGACGGAGCAACGCCGCGUGAGUGAUGAAGGUUUUCGGAUCGUAAAACUCUGUUGUCAGGGAAGAACAAGUACGAUAGUAACUGAUCGUACCUUGACGGUACCUGACCAGAAAGCCACGGCUAACUACGUGCCAGCAGCCGCGGUAAUACGUAGGUGGCAAGCGUUGUCCGGAAUUAUUGGGCGUAAAGCGCUCGCAGGCGGUUCUUUAAGUCUGAUGUGAAAUCUUGCGGC
rnacentral:rRNA from 1 species